rnacentral:rRNA from 1 species
CUCGUAGGCGGUUCGUCGCGUCCGGUGUGAAAGUCCAUCGCUUAACGGUGGAUCUGCGCCGGGUACGGGCGGGCUGGAGUGCGGUAGGGGAGACUGGAAUUCCCAGUGUAACGGUGGAAUGUGUAGAUAUCGGGAAGAACACCAAUGGCGAAGGCAGGUCUCUGGGCCGUUACUGACGCUGAGGAGCGAAAGCGUGGGGAGCGAACA